rnacentral:piRNA from 1 species
UUUUAUAUCCGAGACCUAGCUAUAGCUUA